GCGAGCUCGGCCGGUUGCAAGCAGGCGAGAGCAGCUACCUCCGCAUAUGGUUCCUGCUGAUGGACUAUGUGGUCGAUGCGAAGCCAUUGCUCAAGAAGAUGGAGAGGAAUGGAAUAGGCCUUAAGAGAGCUUCAUUUAUAUGGUUUAUGCACUAUAUUAUGACAAGCACAAGAGGUUCAAUGCCGCAAAGAAGAUGUACAAUCUGGGGACGCAGAAGUAAGCAAAGCUCUUACCUCAAUGCCGCAAAGAAGAUGUACAAUCUGGGGAUGCAGAAGUAAGCAAUCUGUUUGUUCCAGUGGUGUACAUCAGUAAUAGAUUAUAGGGAUGUGGACAGAUUAGUGCAACAGAAAGAAUUAUAGAAAUACAAACAAUUUCGGUUAUGUUUA